CCAACUGUGAAAAAGAGUCAGUUUCAGGAUUAAGAGCCCUCAGCAAAUACAACAACGAGCCAUAUUCAAGUUGUAGCACAAAGGUCGUACUGCCGUGAUUAUUUCCAAACACCUAUGCAGUACGAAAUGCUUGACGGGCAAAUGGUACGCUAAAAUCUGGUAAUAUCGAUGUAAUGGAUAGACUUUGCCAUUCAGGCUUUGUGACAACUGCCAUGUAGCUUCUUAUUGCAUGCCGGGACAAGGUACUCCAUCGUCUUUCAGAUAUGUUACACAUGAACACUGCUGAAAGAAAGCAGGGCCAUGGCGAGGAGGACUUCGGAAAACGUCUAACCCAAGUGUGAUGAAUGUUUGCCUUCUCACCAUAAGACAGCUGCCUUGCAUUUCCGACUACAAAAUCCAUGCAGUGAUGAUUUGUGUGAUCCUUAGAAGAUAUUUGUUACCAAUACGAUUCAACAUCUGGUCUUAAACAGUCACCACUGGGUGAAGGCAACCUUGGCACAGAAAUUCAUCAAGG